rnacentral:rRNA from 1 species
GACGAACGCUGGCGGCGUGCCUAACACAUGCAAGUCGAACGGGACCGGGGGCAACUUCGGUUCAGUGGCGGACGGGUGCGUAACACGUGAGGAACAUGACCUUGCGGGGGAGUAGCCGGCCCAACGGCCGGGUAAUACCGCGUACGACCUUUCGGGGACGAUCCCUGGACGGUGAAAGCAGCAAUGCGCCGAUGGAGUGCCUCGCGGCCUAUCAGCUAGUUGGUGGGGUAACGGCUCACCAAGGCAACGACGGGAGCUGGUCUGAGAGGAUGGCCAGCCACAUUGGGACUGAGACACGGCCCAGACUCCUACGGGAGGCAGCAGUGGGGAAUAUUGCGCAAUGGACGAAAGUCUGACGCAGCGACGCCGCGUGUGGGAUGACGGUCUUCGGAUUGUAAACCACUGUCGGGAGGGACGAAUACGCCGCAAGGCGGU